rnacentral:rRNA from 1 species
GAUGAACGCUGGCGGCGUGCCUAAUACAUGCAAGUCGAGCGAACAGACGAGGAGCUUGCUCCUUUGACGUUAGCGGCGGACGGGUGAGUAACACGUGGAUAACCUACCUAUAAGACUGGGAUAACUUCGGGAAACCGGAGCUAAUACCGGAUAACAUGUUGAACCGCAUGGUUCAACAGUGAAAGACGGUCUUGCUGUCACUUAUAGAUGGAUCCGCGCCGCAUUAGCUAGUUGGUAAGGUAACGGCUUACCAAGGCAACGAUGCGUAGCCGACCUGAGAGGGUGAUCGGCCACACUGGAACUGAGACACGGUCCAGACUCCUACGGGAGGCAGCAGUAGGGAAUCUUCCGCAAUGGGCGAAAGCCUGACGGAGCAACGCCGCGUGAGUGAAGAAGGUCUUCGGAUCGUAAAACUCUGUUAUUAGGGAAGAACAAAUGUGUAAGUAACUAUGCACGUCUUGACGGUACCUAAUCAGAAAGCCACGGCUAACUACGUGCCAGCAGCCGCGGUAAUACGUAGGUGGCAAGCGUUAUCCGGAAUUAUUGGGCGUAAAGCGCGCGUACGCGGUUUUUUAAGUCUGAUGUGAAAGCCCACGGCUCAACCGUGGAGGGUCAUUGGAAACUGGAAAACUUGAGUGCAGAAGAGGAAAGCGGAAUUCCAUGUGUAGCGGUGAAAUGCGCAGAGAUAUGGAGGAACACCAGUGGCGAAGGCGACUUUCUGGUCUGUAACUGACGCUGAUGUGCGAAAGCGUGGGGAUCAAACAGGAUUAGAUACCCUGGUAGUCCACGCCGUAAACGAUGAGUGCUAAGUGUUAGGGGGUUUCCGCCCCUUAGUGCUGCAGCUAACGCAUUAAGCACUCCGCCUGGGGAGUACGACCGCAAGGUUGAAACUCAAAGGAAUUGACGGGGACCCGCACAAGCGGUGGAGCAUGUGGUUUAAUUCGAAGCAACGCGAAGAACCUUACCAAAUCUUGACAUCCUCUGACCCCUCUAGAGAUAGAGUUUUCCCCUUCGGGGGACAGAGUGACAGGUGGUGCAUGGUUGUCGUCAGCUCGUGUCGUGAGAUGUUGGGUUAAGUCCCGCAACGAGCGCAACCCUUAAGCUUAGUUGCCAUCAUUAAGUUGGGCACUCUAAGUUGACUGCCGGUGACAAACCGGAGGAAGGUGGGGAUGACGUCAAAUCAUCAUGCCCCUUAUGAUUUGGGCUACACACGUGCUACAAUGGACAAUACAAAGGGUAGCGAAACCGCGAGGUCAAGCAAAUCCCAUAAAGUUGUUCUCAGUUCGGAUUGUAGUCUGCAACUCGACUACAUGAAGCUGGAAUCGCUAGUAAUCGUAGAUCAGCAUGCUACGGUGAAUACGUUCCCGGGUCU